rnacentral:rRNA from 1 species
AGUGAACGCUGGCGGUAGGCCUAACACAUGCAAGUCGAACGGCAGCACAGUAAGAGCUUGCUCUUACGGGUGGCGAGUGGCGGACGGGUGAGGAAUACAUCGGAACCUACUUUUUCGUGGGGAUAACGUAGGGAAACUUACGCUAAUACCGCAUACGACCUACGGGUGAAAGCAGGGGAUCUUCGGACCUUGCGCGAUUGAAUGAGCCGAUGUCGGAUUAGCUAGUUGGCGGGGUAAAGGCCCACCAAGGCGACGAUCCGUAGCUGGUCUGAGAGGAUGAUCAGCCACACUGGAACUGAGACACGGUCCAGACUCCUACGGGAGGCAGCAGUGGGGAAUAUUGGACAAUGGGCGCAAGCCUGAUCCAGCCAUACCGCGUGGGUGAAGAAGGCCUUCGGGUUGUAAAGCCCUUUUGUUGGGAAAGAAAAGCAGCAGGUUAAUACCCCGCUGUUCUGACGGUACCCAAAGAAUAAGCACCGGCUAACUUCGUG